rnacentral:rRNA from 1 species
UCCUGGUGCUAGUAGCGCAGUGGUCCCACUUCGACUCCAUCCCGAACUCGAUUGUGAAACGCUGUAGYGGCGAAGAUACUUGGGGGGUAGCCCCUCGGGAAAAUAGCUCGACGCCAGG